CCUACGGGUGGCUGCAGUGGGGAAUAUUGGGCAAUGGGCGCAAGCCUGACCCAGCAACGCCGCGUGAAGGAAGAAGGCUUUCGGGUUGUAAACUUCUUUUUUCAGGGACGAAGCAAGUGACGGUACCUGAGGAAUAAGCCACGGCUAACUACGUGCCAGCAGCCGCGGCAAUACGUCGGUGGCAAGCGUUAUCCGGAUUUAAUGGGUGUAAAGGGCGAGUAGGCGGGAAAGCAAGUCAGAUGUGAAAACCAUGGGCUCAACCUUAAGCUUGCAUUUGAAACUGUUUUUCUUGAGUACUGGUGAGGCAGGCGGAAUUCGUGGUGUAGCGGUGAAAUGCUUAGAUAUUAGGAGGAACACCGGUGGCGAAGGCGGUCUGCUGGACAGCAACUGACGCUGAGGCGCGAAAGCGUGGGGAGCAAACAGGAUUAGAUACCCGAGUAGUC
rnacentral:rRNA from 1 species